UACUCCAGAACACCAACGGAAGAGGAUAAAGUUCAUUGUUUAGUAUUAGUCAUUGACGUAACGACAUUAAAAAGCUUUCAUCCAACGAGAACCACGACGACAUAUAAGAAUUCAACAGAACAAACUCCUGACCAGUAUCUGCUCAAGAUACGUGCUAUUACUAACGCGAUGAAUUCGAAAUGUAUUCCGAUUGUCUUACUUCUGACAAAAAUCGAUCUGCUGGAUGAACACGUUGGUGCGAACAUCAAAAAGAUGCAUGGACGCGCAACGGUUGAAAAGGCUGUUAAAGAAGCCAGAGAGAUUUUUGGCGUUGAUGAAUGUAACAUAUUUCCAAUCAUCAAUUUUGUCAAGAGUAUUGAAUUCAAACCACUUGCAUCAAUACCACAUCUCUUGGCUAUGCGUCAUAUUCUUGGGUUUGCACGCGAUUGUCCAAGAGCCAUCGGGAUUAACCGGGCGGAUGCACACUCUUAGAUUUACAUCUUUAGACAAGUACAACAGAAAAUGUAGAAUCUCGACAGGCCACAUAAAAAUGAAAAUGUUGAAGGCUUGGUUUGAUUGAGACUGAUCUGAUUACUAUAAAUUCUCUUUCUUUCCGCACUAUGUUAUACUACUGAACAACCUGCUUGGCCGUAUGGUUAGUAUCCCUGAACUUGAUGAUUUAAGUGUGACUGUAGCAACCAUCCAGUAUUAGACAUGAGCACAAUGUAUAUGUCUUUUCAUUUAUAUCUUUUCUAUUCUCUUUUUAAUACCUUAAAAGCCCUUAUCUUUGUUUUAUUAUUACUUGAGCUGAUAUUCUAUGUAACAAAUAUUCCUUUUCACCUUAACUAGCAAGUCGUCUGGCACUGCAUUUGGGUAUUAAUCGAAAAUAUGCGUUGACAUUAGUCAGAAGAUACAUAGUAAUAACUUUCUUACUUCAAGUCGGCGUCUAUAUUACUAAACAUCUAUCAUGGAAUAUAUUGAUAAAACUAACUGGUGUUUCCUUUGAAAACGUUCAUGAAAUCACGACAGUUUAAAACUUUUACUUUCAUUUCCUCAUCGGUCAAAGGAUUUGUCUUGUGAUAAUUUCUGCAAAACGGUUCACCAAUACUCAAGUUUCAACGAAAACUAAAAUGACGUUAUCAGAUGUAAAGAAAAAUGAUGAUACUAAAAAAGAUUCAAGAACACUUUUCCAUAAUUGCUGACGAUUUAUGAUGAAGAGACGCUGUCAAAAAAUUGAACAUCACCAGUUUAAACGUAUGUGGUCUAAGACACGCAUAAAAUAUCAUGACGUUUUAAUGCUUUUAAAUGCGUAAAAUAUUGUAUGUGUACAAUACUUUAGAUAAAACCUGUUUGAUUAUAAAGAUGUGCCAGGGUUAUCAUUUUAUUUAAAGCCCUGAAAAUCAGGAAGUAAAAGUAAAGUGUUUUAUUAUUAAAAAUACUUCCAUUGACCAAAGAAAGGUUACAUAUUUGACAAAAAAAAAACAAAAACAAAAAAAACAAAACAAAAAAAAAAAACAACUUUAAUGGGCAUCAUUGAAGAUGUUUAAUUUUUUAAUUUUUCUGAUACUCAAUUAUUUGACCACUUUAUUUUCAAAUCAUGUGUCGUGACAGAUUACUAUUAGUUACUAAUAUUUGUUAUGGAGCAUAACUUGCACAUACAAACAUGUAAUACAUUCUGUGUUUUUGUCUAUUUAGUUUGCAUAUUUUGUUUCCUUUUCUAUUCAAUGCUCGAUUGUAGACAAAAUGUAAAUUUACGUUGACUUGCACUGUGAAGGUUUUGUCAUGUUCUUGCUUCAUGUCCUUUGUAAUUAUAAAAUACUAUAAACUUGUU